UACGUAGGGGGCAAGCGUUGUCCGGAAUCAUUGGGCGUAAAGAGCGUGUAGGCGGCUUGGUAAGUCCUGUGUGAAAGCCCUGGGCUCAACCCAGGAAGUGCGCAGGAUACUGUUGAGCUGGAGUAGCGGAGAGGAUGGCGGAAUACCCGGUGUAGAGGUGAAAUUCGUAGAUAUCGGGUGGAACACCGUGUGGCGAAGGCGGCCAAGUCUGGACGUUCGACUGACGCUGAGACGCGAAAGCGUGGGUAGCAAACAGG
rnacentral:rRNA from 1 species